UUUAAUUGAAUGCUAAGAGAAUGGAAACCCAGAAAAAGACUUUUUUUAAAUUAAAAAUUGAAAUUUUUUUAAUUUGUGCAGAAACAAUUAUUAAUAUUAAGGACAAGAAGACCCUAUGAAUUUAUAAAAUUUUAUUUAAUAUGUUAUAACUAUUAAAAAAAUUUUGGCUGGGGCGGCUAAAAAAUAUUUUAAACUUUUUAAAAAUAAAAUGAUCCAUUAUUAAUGAUUAUAUGUUAAAUACUCUAGGGAUAACAGCGUUAUAUUUUUUGAUAGAUCAUAUUGACAAAAAAGUUUGCGACCUCGAUGUUGGAUUAGGAUACUUUUUUAAUGUAGAUAUUAAAAUAAGAAGUUUGUUCAACUUUUAAAAUCCUACUUGAUCUGA
rnacentral:rRNA from 2 species